GACGAACGCUGGCGGCGUGCUUAACACAUGCAAGUCGAGCGGUAAGGCCCUUUCGGGGGUACACGAGCGGCGAACGGGUGAGUAACACGUGGGUGACCUGCCCUCAGCUCUGGGAUAAGCCUGGGAAACCGGGUCUAAUACCGGAUAUGACUCCAUGACGCAUGUUGUGGGGUGGAAAGCCUUGUGCGGCUGAGGAUGGGCCCGCGGCCUAUCAGCUUGUUGGGUGGGGUGANGGCCUACCAAGGCGACGACGGGUAGCCGGCCUGAGAGGGCGACCGGCCACACUGGGACUGAGACAC
rnacentral:rRNA from 1 species